GACGAGGGGUCCAAGCGUUGUUCGGAAUCAUUGGGCGUAAAGCGGGUGUAGGCGGCUCUAUAAGUCAGGAGUGAAAGCCCCGAGCUCAACUCGGGAAGUGCUUCUGAUACUGUAGAGCUUGAAUGUGGGAGAGGGUAGUGGAAUUCCAGGUGUAGUGGUGAAAUACGUAGAUAUCUGGAGGAACACCGGUGGCGAAGGCGGCGUUCUGGACUGCAACUGACACUGAGGAACGAAAGCCAGGGGAGCAAACGGGG
rnacentral:rRNA from 1 species